rnacentral:rRNA from 1 species
GUAGUUAGCCGGGGCUUCCUCUUUGGCUACCGUCAUUUUUUCGUCACUAAGAACAGAGGUUUACAAUCCGAAAACCUUCAUCCCUCACGCGGCGUUGCUGGGUCAGGCUUUCGCCCAUUGCCCAAUAUUCCCCACUGCUGCCUCCCGUAGGAGUCUGGACCGUGUCUCAGUUCCAGUGUGGCCGAUCAGCCUCUCAGCUCGGCUACCCAUCGUCGACUUGGUGGGCCGUUACCCCGCCAACUAUCUAAUGGGACGCGAGCCCCUCCUUCAGCGAAUUGCUCCUUUGACCCCUCUACCAUGCGGUAGCGUGGUCUCAUGCGGUAUUAGCAGUAAUUUCUCACUGUUAUCCCCCUCUGAAGGACAGGUUGCUCACGCGUUACUCACCCGUUCGCCACUAACUCAAGGAGCAAGCUCCUCUCGUCCGUUCGACUUGCAUGUGUUAGGCACGCCGCCAGCGUUCGUCCUGAGCACUAUACAACUACUGA